rnacentral:miRNA from 2 species
GUGGGCUCAGAGCAGGCACA